UAAAUUUACACAAUUUGAGAGAAGCAAUAAUACAUCCAGGCAAACUUCCAAUAUAUAAUAUACAUUUAUACUAAGCACAUUUUCUCUGCGUUGA